GCUGGUUGCUACAUGCUCCUUGUACUAAGAUGAGUCCCCAGUCUCGUAACUUCCGAAUUUCCCUCCAAGGACAUGGAAGAAAAAAAGAUGAGGAAUUCCAGCCCUACUUGACUCAACUCGGCUCUACUCAACUCGGCCAAGUUUGGGUACCUUUUCCACCAGCCUGAGUACCGACUCACGGUAGGCUCGCUUGAACCAGAGUAGAGCAGGUACGAAAAACUGGUGUCUGACACGAGGUACCCCGCCCUUGGAAACGCAUCACAAACCGAGUCGAGUCGGGCUAAGAAGGCCCAGUGGAAAGGUCCAUCUGUUCAGCCUGAAUUACACAAGACAGAAAUAAACACAGCGAGGACGGCCCCACUGUGCUACAAACCAUCAUGUCUGACUCAUAGAGUAGCUCUCUAUAGUCAAACUUACCAAGGUCUGCUGGGGAGGAAGUCAUUCAUCCACACAGACAGUUACCUCUCAGCAGUCUGACGCACACAGUCUAAAGAAGCCUGUGGUUCUGAUAAACUUCAGCAUCUUGGGAUUAUUUAAUAAAGUUCUUAAAGAGAUAUA